UGGCGAGUGGCGAACGGGUGAGUAAUAUAUCGGAACGUGCCCAGUAGUGGGGGAUAACUGCUCGAAAGAGCAGCUAAUACCGCAUACGACCUGAGGGUGAAAGGGGGGGAUCGCAAGACCUCUCGCUAUUGGAGCGGCCGAUAUCAGAUUAGCUAGUUGGUGGGGUAAAGGCCUACCAAGGCAACGAUCUGUAGUUGGUCCGAGAGGACGACCAGCCACCUGGGACUGAGACACGGCCCAGACUCCUACGGGAGGCAGCAGUGGGGAAUUUUGGACAAUAGGCGCAAGCCUGAUCCAGCAAUGCCGCGUGCAGGAAGAAGGCCUUCGGGUUGUAAACUGCUUUUGUCAGGGAAGAAAUCCUCUAGGUUAAUACCCUUGGGGGGAUGACGGUA
rnacentral:rRNA from 1 species